rnacentral:rRNA from 1 species
GAUGAACGCUGGCGGCGUGCCUAAUACAUGCAAGUCGAGCGAACAGACGAGGAGCUUGCCCCUCUGACGUUAGCGGCGGACGGGUGAGUAACACGUGGAUAACCUACCUAUAAGACUGGGAUAACUUCGGGAACCCGGAGCUAAUACCGGAUAAUAUAUUGAACCGCAUGGUUCACUAGUGAAAGACGGUUUUGCUGUCACUUAUAGAUGGAUCCGCGCCGCAUUAGCUAGUUGGUAAGGUAACGGCUUACCAAGGCGACGAUGCGUAGCCGACCUGAGAGGGUGACCAGCCACACUGGAACUGAGACACGGCCCAGACUCCUACGGGAGGCAGCAGUGGGGAAUUUUGGGCAAUGGGCGCAAGCCUGACCCAGCAAUGCCGCGUGAGGGAAGAAGGCCUUCGGAUUGUAAACCGCUUUUGGCAGGGAAGAAACGGUGUCCGCUAAUACCGGGCGCUAAUGACGGUACCUGCAGAAUAAGCACCGGCUAACUACGUG